rnacentral:rRNA from 1 species
UACGUAGGGUGCAAGCGUUGUCCGGAAUUAUUGGGCGUAAAGAGCUCGUAGGCGGUUUGUCGCGUCUGCUGUGAAAACCCGAGGCUCAACCUCGGGCCUGCAGUGGGUACGGGCAGACUAGAGUGGCGGUAGGGGAGAUUGGAAUUGCCUGGUGUAGCGGUGGAAUGCGCAGAUAUCAGGAGGAACACCAAUGGCGAAGGCAGAUCUCUGGGCCGUAACUGACGCUGAGGAGCGAAAGCAUGGGGGAGCGAACAGG